GUGACGUCGUCGGUGACGUAGCCGGAAGCGGCGAGAGACGAAAUCGCGCGGGAAAGAAAGAUGGCCUCGCGAGAGGAGACGGAGCUGCGCGGCGCGUUCAGCGCGGAGAUCGUCCGGGAACUGGAGAAAGCUGUCGUGUUGGUGACCCAACUCCGAAAGAAUAUGUCUACUUUGGAUACAUCUGCAGAUGAAAUUCAGACACUUUCACAGAAAUGGAAAAUCUUUCAAGUAUAUCUGGAUAACAUCAAUGAACUUUCCGCUGCAUUGUCAACACUGCAAUGAACUGUUUCCUUAACCUCAACAUUUUGUAUGUAUUAACUUACAUAUGUAUAGUUAUUAAUAAAGACUAGAAUGUGAUGGCCA